rnacentral:lncRNA from 1 species
AUGCCAGGGAGAGCAGUGGCCCAGCCCAGGCGGCUCCCCACCAUGGGACAUGCGCAGGAAGAGGGGAACGGGGCCAGCACCGGAGCUUGCUUCCUGGAGCAGGGAGAGCGGGCUCCCAGGAUGGCCAUCACCCCACGUCCAGCACCGCUGGGAGGCACUGGCAGAGGCUGGAGCUGUCCCGGGCCGUCCUUCUCCGUCAAGGGGACCCUGCUGGGGGUCAGUGGUGUGGGGGGCAGAGACAGGCUCCAAGCGGAGCAGGGUUGGGCUGAUCCUGCCUUUCUCCUCGCUGGCAUGGUGGCAGGACCCGACAUUUGGCACUACAAACUCGGACGUGAGCGUGGCCGGGCUGCCCCGCGCCCGGGCUGGGGUGCUGCCCGCAUGCCGGCCCCGGUGCCGGGAGGCUCCCAGGACGGGGGUGCGGGCUGCGCGCGCCGCGGCCUGUGCUUGCCUGGCUCCGCUCGGCCCCAGCUCUGCUGGGAGCUUGGCCCAGCGCCAGGGCAGUUGCUCAGCCUGCAGCGGGCCGCCCGCCACUCCCUCUGCGUCCUCGCCCCAACCGCGCACGGCACCGCCGAGGCGCUGCGUCGCUGCCGCGGCCCCACGCGCCCCACGCCGGCGGCAGGCCCAGCGCCUCAGGCCUCUGCGCACCCGCCGGCUCCGUGGGGCAGCCGAGGCGGCUCGGGGCCGGCCCUGGGGCCACUGUGCCCGGCAGGUGGAGGGAUGGCGCGGCAGACCCAUCCCCAUGCCGGGCCCCAUCCCCUACCCCUCUCCCAGGGCCUGGAGCACCGCAGCCACCCCGGGGCAGGGUGGGCCGCGGGGGCGGGGCUUCGCGGGGAGGGCGGGGAUUCCGCGGAGGGGGCGGAGCUUUCAGAGCAGGCUGCGGGGUGCCUAGGGGGUGGGGCUAUGCUUGCGGGGGGCGGGGCCACCGGAGCAGGCGGGGCCUGCGCGUUCUGCCGCGGCGCGCGGGUCUCCCCGUCCCCGUCGGCGGGGGCGUGGCCGCGGUGGGCGAGGGGCGUGGCCCGUAGUAAAAGGGCGGGGCUCGGCGCGGCGGCCGCGUUGCCCGGGGUGACGCGCGGAUACCGCCGGCACCCCUGA